AUUGAACGCUGGCGGCAGGCCUAACACAUGCAAGUCGGACGGUAGCACAGAGGAGCUUGCUCCUUGGGUGACGAGUGGCGGACGGGUGAGUAAUGUCUGGGGAUCUGCCCGAUAGAGGGGGAUAACCACUGGAAACGGUGGCUAAUACCGCAUAACGUCGCAAGACCAAAGAGGGGGACCUUCGGGCCUCUCACUAUCGGAUGAACCCAGAUGGGAUUAGCUAGUAGGCGGGGUAAUGGCCCACCUAGGCGACGAUCCCUAGCUGGUCUGAGAGGAUGACCAGCCACACUGGAACUGAGACACGGUCCAGACUCCUACGGGAGGCAGCAGUGGGGAAUAUUGCACAAUGGGCGCAAGCCUGAUGCAGCCAUGCCGCGUGUAUGAAGAAGGCCUUCGGGUUGUAAAGUACUUUCAGCGGGGAGGAAGGCGGCACGGUUAAUAACCGUGCCGAUUGACGUUACCCGCAGAAGAAGCACCGGCUAACUCCGUGCCAGCCGCCGCCGUAA
rnacentral:rRNA from 1 species